CCCGUCAAAUAAUUUAAGUUUUAAUCUUGCGACCGUACUCCCCAGGCGGUCAACUUCACGCGUUAGCUACGUUACCAAGUCAAUGAAGACCCGACAACUAGUUGACAUCGUUUAGGGCGUGGACUACCAGGGUAUCUAAUCCUGUUUGCUCCCCACGCUUUCGUGCAUGAGCGUCAGUAUUGGCCCAGGGGGCUGCCUUCGCCAUCGGUAUUCCUCCACAUCUCUACGCAUUUCACUGCUACACGUGGAAUUCUACCCCCCUCUGCCAUACUCUAGCCCGCCAGUCACAAAUGCAGUUCCCAGGUUAAGCCCGGGGAUUUCACAUCUGUCUUAGCGGACCGCCUGCGCACGCUUUACGCCCAGUAAUUCCGAUUAACGCUUGCACCCUACGUAUUACCGCGGCUGCUGGCACA
rnacentral:rRNA from 1 species